rnacentral:rRNA from 1 species
GACGAACGCUGGCGGCGUGCUUAACACAUGCAAGUCGAACGGAAAGGCCCUGCUUGCAGGGUCCUCGAGUGGCGAACGGGUGAGUAACACGUGGGUGAUCUGCCCUGCACUUCGGGAUAAGCCUGGGAAACUGGGUCUAAUACCGGAUAGGAGCCAUUUUUAGUGUGAUGGUUGGAAAGUUUUUUCGGUGUAGGAUGAGCUCGCGGCCUAUCAGCUUGUUGGUGGGGUAAUGGCCUACCAAGGCGGCGACGGGUAGCCGGCCUGAGAGGGUGGACGGCCACAUUGCGACUGAGAUACGGCCCAGACUCCUACGGGAGGCAGCAGUGGGGAAUAUUGCACAAUGGGCGCAAGCCUGAUGCAGCGACGCCGCGGGGGGGAGGACGGCCUUCGGGUUGUAAACUCCUUUCGCUAGGGACGAAGCUUUUUGUGACGGUACCUAGAGAAGAAGCACCGGCUAACUACGUG